GACGAACGCUGGCGGCGUGCUUAACACAUGCAAGUCGAACGAUGAAGCCGGAGCUUGCUCUGGUGAAUUAGUGGCGAACGGGUGAGUAACACGUGAGUAACCUGCCCUUGACUCUGGGAUAACUGCGGCAAACUGUAGCUAAUACCGGAUACGACCCUCGGAGGCAUCUCCUGGGGGUGGAAAGAAUUUCGGUCAAGGAUGGACUCGCGGCCUAUCAGCUCGUUGGUGAGGUAAAGGCUCACCAAGGCGACGACGGGUAGCCGGCCUGAGAGGGUGACCGGCCACACUGGGACUGAGACACGGCCCAGACUCCUACGGGAGGCAGCAGUGGGGAAUAUUGCACAAUGGGCGCAAGCCUGAUGCAGCAAUGCCGCGUGAGUGAAGAAGGCCUUCGGGUUGUAAAGCUCUUUUGUCAGGGAAGAAACAGCAGCUCUAACACAGUUUGCGAAUGACGGUACCUGAAGAAUAAGCACCGGCUAAC
rnacentral:rRNA from 1 species